UACGUAGGGUGCAAGCGUUGAUCGGAAUUACUGGGCGUAAAGCGUGCGCAGGCGGUUCGGAAAGAGAGGUGUGAAAUCCCAGGGCUUAACCUUGGAACUGCACUUCUAACUACCGGGCUAGAGUACGUCAGAGGGGGGUAGAAUUCCACGUGUAGCAGUGAAAUGCGUAGAGAUGUGGAGGAAUACCGAUGGCGAAGGCAGCCCCCUGGGAUGAUACUGACGCUCAUGCACGAAAGCGUGGGGAGCAAACAGG
rnacentral:rRNA from 1 species